rnacentral:lncRNA from 1 species
GGAAAUAGUGUGUGAAUAUGGACGGUGGGCAGGAGUCUCUGAGAUCAAGAGAGGAUGUGUUUAAAGUUGCUGGAGAUUUGAUUUCAUAUCACCUUACAGAGCUUGAAUACAUCAAUGCAUAAAGAAGUACCAUGAGGCAGCUCUGACAAGUUCUCUGAGGCCAUCAAGUAGAACCCUGGAGUCAGCCAGUACUAUGAGAACUGGGCCAAAGCCCCACCGUAAAGUGCCCAACGUGGAGGGGGCCAAGCAGGAUGCCAUCAGUACCCUUCUCCUGGACCCCACUAAUGAUCAUGCAAGACCCUCAACGCCUGUACUGUUUGUCUCAUCCACUCUAUCCAUAAUACUGAGCUGUUAUAGCUAGGGCCUAAUGUGGACCAAGGACCCUAGUUAUGCAAGUACUAAGCUCUCACCACUUGUUUCCAAUGCAGAUUGGGGGGGAAAAAAACAUGAUUUUUCUAAGUAUGUGAACAGGUUAUUCUUUCUUUUAACACACAUUUCAUUUUAUGUAAUACAUGUUUCAUAAAGUGGUGUGAAACUCCCACUUGGUGCAGAACUGACUACUGUAGUAAAUCUGUCCCUCUGUCUGCACGUGUGUGUUUCCAGUUUUAAUGUCACAUGGACAGGUACAGUGAAAUGUCUUUCUUGCAACCAACAAAGCAGUAAUCAUUAACAAUGUAAUACAACAAAUAACAUGGUAGAACAAAAAGAAACGAGAUAAACAUAAAAAAUAAGAAGAACACAAUAAAGUAAGUAAGCAUACUAUAUAAAGGGUCAGUGCCAAUACCAUAUUAACAAUGUGCAGGGAUACUGGAUUGAUAUAGGUAGAUAUAUA